CCUACGGGUGGCAGCAGUGGGGAAUAUUUCACAAUGGGGGAAACCCUGAUGCAGCGACGCCGCGUGAGUGAAGAAGGAAUUCGUUAUGUAAAGCUCUAUCAUCAGCGAAGAAAAUGACGGUACCUGAGGAAUAAGCUCCGGCUAACUACGUGCCAGCAGCCGCGGUAAUACGUAGGGGGCGAGCGUUAUCCGGAUUUACUGGGUGUAAAGGGAGCGUAGAGGGGAGUGCAAGUUUGGGGGGAAAGGCGGGGGCUCAACCCCCAGACUGUUCUGGAAACUGUACGGCUGGAGUGCCGGAGAGGUAAGUGGAAUUCCUAGUGUAGCGGUGAAAUGCGUAGAUAUUAGGAGGAACACCAGUGGCGAAGGCAGCUUACUGGACUGUAACUGACGUUGAGGCUCGAAAGCGUAGGGAGCAAACAGGAUUAGAUACCCCUGUAGUC
rnacentral:rRNA from 1 species